rnacentral:rRNA from 1 species
GAUGAACGCUGGCGGCGUGCCUAAUACAUGCAAGUCGAGCGAACGGACGAGAAGCUUGCUUCUCUGAUUUUAGCGGCGGACGGGUGUGUAACACGUGGAUCACCUACCUAUAAGACUGGGAUAACUUCGGGAAACCGGAGCUAAUACCUGAUAAUAUUUUGAACCGCAUUUUUCAAAAGUGAAUGACGGUCUUUCUGUCACUUAUAUAUGGAUCCGCGCUGCAUUAGCUAGUUGGUAAGGUAACGGCUUACCAAGGCAACGAUGCAUAGCCGACCUGAGAGGGUGAUCGGCCACACGGGAACUGAGACACGGUCCAGACUCCGACGGGAGGAAGCAGUAGGGAAUCUUCCGCAAGGGGCGAAAGCCUGACGGAGCAACGCCGCGUGAGUGAUGAAGGUCUUCGGAUCGGAAAACGCUGUUAGUAGGGAAGAACAUAUGUGUAAGUAACUGGGCAGAUCUUGACGGUACCUAAACAGAAAGCCACGGCUAACUACGUG